AGAGUGAACGCUGGCGGCAGGCCUAACACAUGCAAGUCGAACGGCAGCACAGGAGAGCUUGCUCUCUGGGUGGCGAGUGGCGGACGGGUGAGGAUAACGUCGGAAUCUGCCUAUUUGUGGGGGAUAACGUAGGGAAACUUACGCUAAUACCGCAUACGACCUACGGGUGAAAGCGGAGGACCUUCGGGCUUCGCGCAGAUAGAUGAGCCGACGUCGGAUUAGCUAGUUGGCGGGGUAAUGGCUCACCAAGGCGACGACGGGUAGCUGGUCUGAGAGGACGAUCAGCCGGAUUGGGACUGAGAUACGGCCCAGACUCCUACGGGGGGCAGCAAUUAGGAAUCUUGCGCAAGUGGGGGAAACCUGACGCAGCGACGCCGCGUGCGGAUGAA
rnacentral:rRNA from 1 species